AUACGGAGGAUCCGAGCGUUAUCCGGAUUUAUUGGGUUUAAAGGGUGCGUAGGCGGCCUUUUAAGUCAGCGGUGAAAGUCUGUGGCUCAACCAUAGAAUUGCCGUUGAAACUGGGGGGCUUGAGUAUGUUUGAGGCAGGCGGAAUGCGUGGGGUAGGGGGGAAAUGCAUAGAUUUCACGCAGAACCCCGAUUGUGAAGGCAGCCUGCCAAGCCAUGACUGACGCUGAUGCACGAAAGCGUGGGGAUCAAACAGGAUUAGAUACCCUGGUAGUCCACGCAGUAAACGAUGAUCACUAGCUGUUUGCGAUACACUGUAAGCGGCACAGCGAAAGCGUUAAGUGAUCCACCUGGGGAGUACGCCGGCAACGGUGAAACUCAAAGGAAUUGACGGGG
rnacentral:rRNA from 1 species